rnacentral:rRNA from 1 species
AGUCGAACGAUGAAGCCCAGCUUGCUGGGUGGAUUAGUGGCGAACGGGUGAGUAACACGUGAGUAACCUGCCCUUGACUCUGGGAUAAGCCUGGGAAACUGGGUCUAAUACCGGAUAGGAACGUCCACCGCAUGGUGGGUGUUGGAAAGAUUUAUCGGUCAUGGAUGGACUCGCGGCCUAUCAGCUUGUUGGUGAGGUAAUGGCUCACCAAGGCGACGACGGGUAGCCGGCCUGAGAGGGUGACCGGCCACACUGGGACUGAGACACGGCCCAGACUCCUACGGGAGGCAGCAGUGGGGAAUAUUGCACAAUGGGCGAAAGCCUGAUGCAGCGACGCCGCGUGAGGGAUGACGGCCUUCGGGUUGUAAACCUCUUUCAGUAGGGAAGAAGCGAAAGUGACGGUACCUGCAGAAGAAGCACCGGCUAACUACGUGCCAGCAGCCGCGGUAAUACGUAGGGUGCGAGCGUUAUCCGGAAUUAUUGGGCGUAAAGAGCUCGUAGGCGGUUUGUCGCGUCUGUCGUGAAAGUCCGGGGCUUAACCCCGGGAUCUGCGGUGGGUACGGGCAGACUAGAGUGCAGUAGGGGAGACUGGAAUUCGUGGUGUAGCGGUGGAAUGCGCAGAUAUCAGGAGGAACACCGAUGGCGAAGGCAGGUCUCUGGGCUGUAACUGACGCUGAGGAGCGAAAGCAUGGGGAGCGAACAGGAUUAGAUACCCUGGUAGUCCAUGCCGUAAACGUUGGGCACUAGGUGUGGGGACCAUUCCACGGUUUCCGCGCCGCAGCUAACGCAUUAAGUGCCCCGCCUGGGGAGUACGGCCGCAAGGCUAAAACUCAAAGGAAUUGACGGGGGCCCGCACAAGCGGCGGAGCAUGCGGAUUAAUUCGAUGCAACGCGAAGAACCUUACCAAGGCUUGACAUGUUCUCGAUCGCCGUAGAGAUACGGUUUCCCCUUUGGGGCGGGAUCACAGGUGGUGCAUGGUUGUCGUCAGCUCGUGUCGUGAGAUGUUGGGUUAAGUCCCGCAACGAGCGCAACCCUCGUUCCAUGUUGCCAGCACGUAAUGGUGGGGACUCAUGGGAGACUGCCGGGGUCAACUCGGAGGAAGGUGGGGACGACGUCAAAUCAUCAUGCCCCUUAUGUCUUGGGCUUCACGCAUGCUACAAUGGCCGGUACAAUGGGUUGCGAUACUGUGAGGUGGAGCUAAUCCCAAAAAGCCGGUCUCAGUUCGGAUUGGGGUCUGCAACUCGACCCCAUGAAGUCGGAGUCGCUAGUAAUCGCAGAUCAGCAACGCUGCGGUGAAUACGUUCCCGGGCCUUGUACACACCGCCCGUCAAGUCACGAAAGUCGGUAACACCCGAAGCCGGUGGCCUAACCCUUGUGGGGGGAGCCGUCGAA